rnacentral:rRNA from 1 species
ACGAAACCGGAACACAGGUGCUGCGAUGGCUGUCGUCGAGCUCGUGUCGUGAGAUGUUGGGUUAAGUCCCGCUAACGGAGCGCAACCUGUCAUACGUUGCCAUCAUUUGGUUGGGACGACUCUAAUGAGGACUGCCGGUGACAAACCGGAGGAAGGUGGGGAUGACGUCAAGUCCUCAUGGCCCUUAUAGGUGGGGCUACACACGUCAUACAAUGGCCGGUACAGAGGGUAGCCAACCCGCGAGGGGGAGCCAAUCCCACAAAGCCGGUCGUAGUCCGGAUCGCAGUCUGCAACUCGACUGCGUGAAGUCGGAAUCGCUAGUAAUCGCGGAUCAGCAUGUCGCGGUGAAUACGUUCCCGGGUCUU